UCUCUUUUAACGAAUAUAUUCAUUGGAAUGCGAGUGCUUUAACAUAACAAAAUUUGUGACGAAACAUUAUAAGGACAAUUGUGAAAUUAAGACAUAAAAUUAUAAAAGUGUUGUAAUAUAUAUGGUUAAAAGAUGUUUGGUUUAGUCUACUUUGAAAAGGAUAAUACACUUGUAAGUGUGCGACAAAAUCUCAGCGACUUGACAUUUGAAGUUUUCAAGCGAAAAUCAAAAUGUUCCAUGAAAUGGGGCGCAGAAGACUAUGAGGAGAGAAUUAUCAUUACCAGAGACGGUUGCAAGGACUACAAGGGAACGACAAUGGUGUUUUGCAAGAUCUUCAUGGAGUAUGAGACGAGUGGGAGAAGCCUCACAGGAGGCCUUGCCAAGGAUGGUACGAGGCAGCCAGCCAUUGAAGAUCAGAAGAAGAUUAGUUUCCUGUAAGAAGUCAUCAAGCAAAAAUGGCCCUCCACCAUGAAGGACGCCGUGAAGUAUGUUCUUCGAGACAUGCUAAAGCCAUCCAAAGCUAGUGUUAAACUGACAUGUUUAACUUCCAGUCAUUUUCCAAGUCUUAUCUCCUUUAAUUUAGGAAAUACUUUCCAUGGACGCCAAUAUUUUUAAAUGACAAAAUUUAAUCUAAAAAUAACAUUGUCGUACGAUCUUUGAUAAGAUGGGCCCCUGAAAUGCCUUGUUUCUGGUACUGGAAGUUUUGCUUGUAUAUAAUUUGCAAGUUUUGACAGUGUACACAACACAGACCCUGAAUAAUAACACUAUUAAAUUUUAAGCAUUUAUUUGUAUGAUUGAUGCCAGGUCUUGUUCAUAUGGUGUGUAUAUGGUAAACUCAUGGUAAAAGAGGCAGAUUUCUACUAAAUUACCUUAUAGCUGUUGUUUAACUUCUAGGAUGAAACUUUAA